GGAGGUAUCAGAAGUGCGAAUGCUGACAUGAGUAACGACAAUGGGUGUGAAAAACACCCACGCCGAAAGACCAAGGGUUCCUGCGCAACGUUAAUCGACGCAGGGUUAGUCGGUUCCUAAGGCGAGGCUGAAAAGCGUAGUCGAUGGGAAACAGGUUAAUAUUCCUGUACUUCUGGUUACUGCGAUGGAGGGACGGAGAAGGCUAGGCCAGCUUGGCGUUGGUUGUCCAAGUUUAAGGUGGUAGGCUGAAAUCUUAGGUAAAUCCGGGGUUUCAAGGCCGAGAGCUGAUGACGAGUCGUCUUUUAGAUGACGAAGUGGUUGAUGCCAUGCUUCCAAGAAAAGCUUCUAAGCUUCAGGUAA
rnacentral:rRNA from 1 species